CAGCAGCCACGGUAAUACGAAGGGGGCUAGCGUUGCUCGGAAUUACUGGGCGUAAAGGGAGCGUAGGCGGAUCGUUUAGUCAGGGGUGAAAUCCCGGGGCUCAACCUCGGAACUGCCUUUGAUACUGGCGAUCUUGAGUAUGGGAGAGGUGUGUGGAACUCCGAGUGUAGAGGUGAAAUUCGUAGAUAUUCGGAAGAACACCAGUGGCGAAGGCGACACACUGGCCCAUUACUGACGCUGAGGCUCGAAAGCGUGGGGAGCAAACAGGAUUAGAUACCCCUGUAGUCCCUGUCUCUUAUAC
rnacentral:rRNA from 1 species